rnacentral:rRNA from 1 species
UACGAAGGGGGCGAGCGUUGUUCGGAUUUACUGGGCGUAAAGGGCGCGUAGGCGGCCCGUUUUGUCAGGCGUGAAAGCCCUGGGCUCAACCCUGGAAAGCCGGUGGAAACUGUCGAGCUCGAGUCCGGAAGAGGCGAGUGGAAUUCCUGGUGUAGCGGUGAAAUGCGCAGAUAUCAGGAGGAACACCAAUGGCGAAGGCAGCUCGCUGGGACGGUACUGACACUGAGACGCGAAAGCGUGGGGAGCGAACAGG